AUUGAACGCUGGCGGCAUGCCUAACACAUGCAAGUCGAACGUGAAAGAGGGGCAACUCUCGAGUAAAGUGGCGGACGGGUGAGUAAUACGUAGGAAUCUGCCCUAGAGUGGGGGAUAACCUGUCGAAAGACGGGCUAAUACCGCAUGAUCUCUAUGGAGCAAAGGUGCCUUAUAGCAAUAUAAGGUUUCGCUUUAGGAUGAGCCUACGUCGGAUUAGCUAGUUGGUAGGGUAAUGGCCUACCAAGGCAACAAUCCGUAGCUGGGCUGAGAGGACGAUCAGCCACACUGGAAAUGAGACACGGUCCACACUCCUACGGGAGUCAGCAGUGGGGAAUAUUGGACAAUGGGGGAAACCCUGAUCCAGCAAUGCCGCGUGUGCGAUGAAGGCCUGCGGGUUGUAAAGCACUUUCGGUGGGGAAGAAAUGCCCAAAUAUAAUACAUUUGGGAGCUGACGUUACCCACAGAAGAAGCACCGGCAAACUCUGUGCCAGCAGCCGCCGUAA
rnacentral:rRNA from 1 species